UGGGGGAAUAUUGGGCAAUGGGCGCAAGCCUGACCCAGCAACGCCGCGUGAAGGAAGAAGGCUUUCGGGUUGUAAACUUCUUUUAAGAGGGACGAAGGAAG
rnacentral:rRNA from 1 species